rnacentral:sRNA from 1 species
UGAAAUCCAAGGGGCUGGGUGUCUAUAUUUUUCUAGAUGGAAACUUAAAAAUAAUUAGCAAAUUUUGUUCUAUUAAAUAAACGUUUUUUAGGUGUGUGUGUGUGUGUGUGUGUGUGUGUGGUGCUAGGUCCCAGAUUCAA